rnacentral:rRNA from 1 species
UACGUAGGGUGCGAGCGUUGUCCGGAAUUAUUGGGCGUAAAGGGCUCGUAGGCGGUUCGUCGCGUCGGGAGUGAAAACCCGGGGCUCAACUCCGGGCUUGCGGGCGAUACGGGCAGGCUAGAGUUCGGUAGGGGAGACUGGAAUUCCUGGUGUAGCGGUGAAAUGCGCAGAUAUCAGGAGGAACACCGGUGGCGAAGGCGGGUCUCUGGGCCGAUACUGACGCUGAGGAGCGAAAGCGUGGGGAGCGAACAGG